rnacentral:rRNA from 1 species
AGCGAAUGCUGGCGGCAGGCCUAACACAUGCAAGUCGAACGAAGCCUUCGGGCUUAGUGGCGGACGGGUGAGUAACACGUGGGAACGUACCUUUUGGUUCGGAACAACUCAGGGAAACUUGAGCUAAUACCGGAUGAGCCCUUAGGGGGAAAGAUUUAUCGCCGAAAGAGCGGCCCGCGUUAGAUUAGCUAGUUGGUGAGGUAAAGGCUCACCAAGGCUACGAUCUAUAGCUGGUCUGAGAGGAUGAUCAGCCACACUGGGACUGAGACACGGCCCAGACUCCUACGGGAGGCAGCAGUGGGGAAUCUUGCGCAAUGGGCGAAAGCCUGACGCAGCCAUGCCGCGUGAAUGAUGAAGGUCUUAGGAUUGUAAAAUUCUUCUACCAGGGACGAUAAUGACGGUACCUGGAGAAAAAGCCCCGGCUAACUUCGUGCCAGCCGCCGCCGUAAAAC